rnacentral:snRNA from 1 species
AGCUUUGUGCUGUGGCAAUAUCGUAGCCAAUGAGAUUUAUCCAAGGUGAGAUUAUUACUAAUUGAAAACUUUUCCCAAAGG